UACGAGGGGGGGCGAGCGUUUGUUCGGAAUUAUUGGGCGUAAAGGGUGCGUAGGCGGUUUGGUAAGUCUUAUGUGAAAUCUAUGGGCUCAACUCAUAGUCUGCAUGAGAAACUGCCGGGCUUGAGUGUGGGAGAGGUGAGUGGAAUUUCCGGUGUAGCGGUGAAAUGCGCAGAUAUCAGGAGGAACACCGGUGGCGAAGGCGGUUCUCUGGGCAUUACCUGACGUGAGGAGCGAAAGCGUGGGGGAGCAAACAGG
rnacentral:rRNA from 1 species